AUUGAACGCUGGCGGCAGGCCUAACACAUGCAAGUCGAACGAGUGGCGGACGGGUGAGUAAUGUCUGGGAAACUGCCUGAUGGAGGGGGAUAACUACUGGAAACGGUAGCUAAUACCGCAUACCAUCAGAUGUGCCCAGAUGGGAUUAGCUUGUUGGUGGGGUAACGGCUCACAAAGGCGACGAUCCCUAGCUGGUCUGAGAGGAUGACCAGCCACACUGGAACUGAGACACUGUCAAGACGCCUACGGGAGGCAGCAGUGGGGAAGAUUGCAGAAAGGGCGGAAGCCUGAUGCAGCCAUGCCGAGUGUAUGAAGAAGGCCUUCGGGUUGUAAAGUACUUUCAGCGGGGAGGCGUUACCCGGAGAAGAAGCACCGGCUAACGACGUGCCAGCAGCCGCGGUAAUUC
rnacentral:rRNA from 1 species